GAGGUAAUGUUGACAUGAGUUCAAGAAUGUUUGGUAUUGAGCAUGUGCAGCACGUGCAAUAAAGAUCUGAUGAGGUAAUUAGUCUAGAAAGUUCUGAAAGGACAGUAUAAAGGUCAGAAAACAGAGCGCUAGCAAAGAGCUGCUGACGGAUAAAGGGACCGGACCUUGGAUGGAGAAGCGGUGCCGAGCAGAGCUGAACGUGAUAGCUGACGGUGGCAGCAGUAGCUACAGCAGAUAACACAGUAAAGCCAACAGGCCAGACAAACACGGAAGAAAAUGAAGAGGAAGAGAUUGAUUGUUACCAACAGCCUGAUACUGCACUCCCAUAACUUCCAGUGAAGACACUGUGAGAAAAGAAAGAAGAAAGAGAAACUAGAAGGCCCCCAAGCAAAAAACAGAAGUUGCAUCCUUCUCAACUCUUGCAGUUCAAAUUUGUGACUCAGGAUGGUUUUCUCUGUAAAAUUUUGUGUGAUGUUUGCUUUCUCAUAGGUAAGAAUCUAACCAAUUCUAUUCAAUUGAGUAAGUACUUCAGUUCUUAAAAUGUUUUUUUUAAAAACCCAUUCUUUCAGUCAAAAGUUGAGACAUACAAUACAGAAAUGAUACUUAAAAACCAAACAAAUUUUAAAAAGUCAACAGAAUGAGCCAACAACAAAUAUGGUCAAAUAUAUAACUUACUUCUCCCACCCCAUUUAAUUCUACCCUCCCUCUUGUCUCUAGUGAGUGGUAAGGAAACUCAAUAGCUUCAGCUCCAAACCUGGCAAAAACUACUGAGCAGCAUGUAGCUGAUGGUUAGAACCCAGAACUGUAACUCACAUUCUAGGUACUGUUCCCAACUAUGCCACUGACUUCCCGUGUGACUCGUUUGGGGCUCUUUUUAGGCCCAGAUCCUCAAAGGUAUUUAGGCUCCUAACUCUCACUGAAAUCAAUGGGAAUUAGGCACUCAAAUACCUUUGAGGAUCUGAGCCCUUAGGCCCUGAUUCUACAACCACAUGCUUCGCUUUACACACAAGUUGUCCACUGUGACCCAUAUGCAAAACGUUAAGCACAUGAGCAAUGCCAGGGACAGGGCCAUAAGCUCUGCAUUUCUCAUGUGUAAAAUAGAACUAAUAUUCAGUAAUACAAAGGGGUGUUGUGAAAAUUAAUUUGUUAGUAAAUGUUUGUAAAACAAUCUGAGAUUCUUGGGUGAAAGUUGUUACAUAAGGUUCAGAACAGUAUUAUGUACUCUAAAUUAAUAGGGAGUGCUCUGGAUCAAGACUAGUUGCUACCAUCCCAACACAUUCAUCUUCUCCUACUUACUGAAUCACCUCUACUAUGAUCUCCAUCUUCCUAUAGCCUGGGGAACAAGCAUCUUUUAAGUUUGACAGCACUUGAGAAAGUGCAGUUUUAUUAUUUAGCUAAUGCUGAGGUUAAACAUUAAACAGUCAUUUUGGAGCCAGACUUAAUAAGAGGGAGGAAGAAACUCAACAUUUUAAUUCUUGGGAUAACUUUGAAGGAUUAGCAGCCAUAGCGUUCUGUGGAUUUUAAUAGGCCACUGUCUUAAGGAAAAAACAAAAUAAGUGACAUGCAAAGGCUACUUCAUAUGAUACAGAGAAAUAUUCAAAUAAAACUAAUCUAAGUAUUUAUAUUCUGGUCUCUGUGCCUAAUCUAAAGUUUUCUGAUAUCUGUAACUGCUUUUUGGUUUUAUUCAGGGUAUGUUGCCCAAAUGUGUUUCUAAUUGUGCAGUACCAAAUUUUAAUAUGAACAAAACUAAAACAACACUCUGUAUUUCUGUAGCCUCUUCUGUCUAAGGCUCUCCAAAUAUUUUACAAAAAAUAAGGAAUGGUAAUAGUUGUAUUGCAUUAACAUCCAAAAGACAACGAUCAUUAUCAGUAUUCCAUUAUGCUAGGCAUUGUACAAACACUGAGCCCCUGCACUGAAAAGAUUACAAUCUAAAUUGAAACGAGAACAACAAAAGGAGUGAGAACAAUUGUACGUAUGUUAGCUUUGCACAAUUUGACGGUUCUAUCCCCAAGUGCAGUUCCACCUAGUCAUCAUUGGUUAACAGGUUUCCUGUAGGCAUCACAGAAUAGAUAGAUCUUUAGGAAGGAUCUGAAGGAUGGCACCAUUAAAGAUCUGUAUCCAUUGUUUCCAAAUUUUUACAGCUAAUAAACACUUGUUAUAGUUAAUGCUUGGUUAUCAUCAUAGUGUUUGAAUUGAGUAAAAAGGACAUCUCACAGCAGGUACAUAUUCUAUAUGGGAUUAUAUCCAUUACUCACUUUUACUAAAAGUUCAUACUGAUGUCAGCAAGUGCUGCAAAAACAUUUAUAAGACAACAAGGUAAAUUAGCCAGCUAGUCUGAAAAAUGAAGGCUUAAAGCAGGAUUUAAAACCAACAUGCCCACAUUCAGUAAGACGCUUUCAUAGGAAAAUGUCAUCAACUUCUGCAGAAUCUAAGCUUUAAAUGGAUUUCAUAUGGAUUUCAAAUUAUGGGAGCAUGAAAUGAACAAAGUACAUUCUCAUUUGAAUCACCCAUUCAAGGAUGUAUAUCCUGAUUUUUGGUGAGACUCAGGAGUAACUGAGCAAAAUUUGGCCCAGUACCUUCAGUUUAAAGACCAAUUACUACAUGCCCCACACAGUGUUUAAUGUGAUGGAUAAAAGAUCCAUAUUAAUCUAUUAACAGUGGCUCAACGAUUCAGACAAUGAGACGGUUUACAGACACUUCUGUUAAUUUGUUAAUGGCAUACUAGAUGUUGAAAACAAUUACUGAUAGUUAAACAACAACAAAAUCUACAUAAACCAUCCAGACAUAACCUACUAACCGAAGUCAGUACCUUGUUGAGGUUCUAUGGUAUAAAAGUGGGGCUGUGACAUGCUUCCCUCAUGCAAUCAGUCUGGCUCCUACCACCCAACACCUCCUUGGUUCCGCUCCCCAGUCCCCGAAAGCCAUGUGCUGUGGUCACAGCCUCCAACCUCAAUCGGCUUCCCAACAUGCAAGAACUAAAUAUAUCACCAUCUAUUGAAGACAGUAGAUCCAUCCAUAUGCUGUACCGCUCAAAGCAUACACAUCUAUUGAGAAAGAACUCUCUGAAUCUCUUUAUCAGCAAAAACUAUCUAUGACAAGGAAGGAAAGUGGUGGACAAACAAUUAGAGCUGGUUUGAAAAUGCCAGUUCAUUGAAUUCAAAAUUUCUUAUGAAAGCAGGUUGGGUUCAAUGACCGUUCAUCAAAUCACAGGCACAGUUGCAGAGGAACCCUGUCUCCCAGAUUUCCAGGGUCCGCGGCUCCCAAGGAGCCCUGUCAUAGGGCUGGGGACCCAGACUUCUUGGGUCCACCACUCCAUGGGAGCCCCACCCUGCCAGACUCUGAGGGUUUCCUGCAUUGCUGCU